rnacentral:rRNA from 1 species
AUGCAAGUCGAACGGUGAUGACCAGCUUGCUGGUCUGAUCAGUGGCGAACGGGUGAGUAACACGUGAGUAACCUGCCCCAGACUCUGGGAUAAGCCUUGGAAACGAGGUCUAAUACUGGAUAUGAGAUGCCCCUGCAUGGGGAGUGUCUGGAAAGAUUUAUCGGUCUGGGAUGGACUCGCGGCCUAUCAGCUUGUUGGUGGGGUAAUGGCCUACCAAGGCGACGACGGGUAGCCGGCCUGAGAGGGCGACCGGCCACACUGGGACUGAGACACGGCCCAGACUCCUACGGGAGGCAGCAGUGGGGAAUAUUGCACAAUGGGCGCAAGCCUGAUGCAGCGACGCCGCGUGAGGGAUGAAGGCCUUCGGGUUGUAAACCUCUUUCAGCAGGGAAGAAGCGCAAGUGACGGUACCUGCAGAAGAAGCGCCGGCUAACUACGUGCCAGCAGCCGCGGUAAUACGUAGGGCGCAAGCGUUGUCCGGAAUUAUUGGGCGUAAAGAGCUCGUAGGCGGUUUGUCGCGUCUGGUGUGAAAACUCAAGGCUCAACCUUGAGCUUGCAUCGGGUACGGGCAGACUAGAGUGCGGUAGGGGUGACUGGAAUUCCUGGUGUAGCGGUGGAAUGCGCAGAUAUCAGGAGGAACACCGAUGGCGAAGGCAGGUCACUGGGCCGCAACUGACGCUGAGGAGCGAAAGCAUGGGGAGCGAACAGGAUUAGAUACCCUGGUAGUCCAUGCCGUAAACGUUGGGCACUAGGUGUGGGGCUCAUUCCACGAGUUCCGUGCCGCAGCAAACGCAUUAAGUGCCCCGCCUGGGGAGUACGGCCGCAAGGCUA